CUGUCUCAUGUCAGGGGUCAGCUCGUUUGAUGUUUAAAGCAUUUGGGCCAAUCUAAUCAGGCCGAGUAUAGCCCAUCUGAGCAUGAGCCGCUGCCGCCAUGACGAGGCUGAGCUUGCUCUGAGCUGAUGUUCCCUGACCUGACAGCUUUGGGGCCUUGGGACCAGGCAGGUGCAAAGUACAGAGUCUGGAGUUGAGGGACAGGAGCCUCCUGCUAGCGUGUGUUAGCCGGGAGAAAACCUUGUAUUUGGCAAUGGCGGGGGCCAGUUACCAGCUGUUUAGCGUGAGGGAGACUUGGCUUUCAUUUGGUUCAUUUGGUAACCCUCUUAGUGCACUGAGG
rnacentral:lncRNA from 1 species